rnacentral:rRNA from 1 species
GGGUGAGUAACACGUGAGCAACCUGCCCCUGACUCUGGGAUAAGCGCUGGAAACGGCGUCUAAUACUGGAUAUGUCCCAUCACCGCAUGGUGUGUGGGUGGAAAGAUUUUUCGGUUGGGGAUGGGCUCGCGGCCUAUCAGCUUGUUGGUGAGGUAAUGGCUCACCAAGGCGUCGACGGGUAGCCGGCCUGAGAGGGUGACCGGCCACACUGGGACUGAGACACGGCCCAGACUCCUACGGGAGGCAGCAGUGGGGAAUAUUGCACAAUGGGCGGAAGCCUGAUGCAGCAACGCCGCGUGAGGGAUGACGGCCUUCGGGUUGUAAACCUCUUUUAGCAGGGAAGAAGCGAGAGUGACGGUACCUGCAGAAAAAGCACCGGCUAACUACGUGCCAGCAGCCGCGGUAAUACGUAGGGUGCAAGCGUUAUCCGGAAUUAUUGGGCGUAAAGAGCUCGUAGGCGGUCUGUCGCGUCUGCUGUGAAAUUCCGAGGCUCAACCUCGGGCUUGCAGUGGGUACGGGCAGACUAGAGUGCGGUAGGGGAGAUUGGAAUUCCUGGUGUAGCGGUGGAAUGCGCAGAUAUCAGGAGGAACACCGAUGGCGAAGGCAGAUCUCUGGGCCGUAACUGACGCUGAGGAGCGAAAGGGUGGGGAGCAAACAGGCUUAGAUACCCUGGUAGUCCACCCCGUAAACGUUGGGAACUAGUUGUGGGGUCCUUUCCACGGAUUCCGUGACGCAGCUAACGCAUUAAGUUCCCCGCCUGGGGAGUACGGCCGCAAGGCUAAAACUCAAAGGAAUUGACGGGGACCCGCACAAGCGGCGGAGCAUGCGGAUUAAUUCGAUGCAACGCGAAGAACCUUACCAAGGCUUGACAUACACGAGAACGGGCCAGAAAUGGUCAACUCUUUGGACACUCGUGAACAGGUGGUGCAUGGUUGUCGUCAGCUCGUGUCGUGAGAUGUUGGGUUAAGUCCCGCAACGAGCGCAACCCUCGUUCUAUGUUGCCAGCACGUAAUGGUGGGAACUCAUGGGAUACUGCCGGGGUCAACUCGGAGGAAGGUGGGGAUGACGUCAAAUCAUCAUGCCCCUUAUGUCUUGGGCUUCACGCAUGCUACAAUGGCCGGUACAAUGGGCUGCAAUACCGUGAGGUGGAGCGAAUCCCAAAAAGCCGGUCCCAGUUCGGAUUGAGGUCUGCAACUCGACCUCAUGAAGUCGGAGUCGCUAGUAAUCGCAGAUCAGCAACGCUGCGGUGAAUACGUUCCCGGGUCUUGUACACACCGCCCGUCAAGUCAUGAAAGUCGGUAACACCUGAAGCC